AGUGAACGCUGGCGGUAGGCCUAACACAUGCAAGUCGAACGGCAGCACAGUAAGAGCUUGCUCUUACGGGUGGCGAGUGGCGGACGGGUGAGGAAUACAUCGGAAUCUACUUUUUCUGGGGGGAUAACGUAGGGAAACUUACGCUAAUACCGCAUACGACCUACGGGUGAAAGCAGUGGAUCUUCGGACCUUGCGCGAUUGUAUGAGCCGAUGUCGGAUUAGCUAGUUGGCGGGGUAAAGGCCCACCAAGGCGACGAUCCGUAGCUGGUCUGAGAGGAUGAUCAGCCACACUGGAACUGAGACACGGUCCAGACUCCUACGGGAGGCAGCAGUGGGGAAUAUUGGACAAUGGGCGCAAGCCUGAUCCAGCCAUACCGCGUGGGUGAAGAAGGCCUUCGGGUUGUAAUGCCCUUUUGUUGGGAAAGAAAAGCAGCAGGUUAAUACCCCGCUGUUCUGACGGUACCCAAAGAAUAAGCAACGGCUAACUUCGUG
rnacentral:rRNA from 1 species